rnacentral:rRNA from 1 species
UACGGAGGAGGCAAGCGUUAUCCGGAAUUAUUGGGCGUAAAGCGUCCGUAGGUGGCUCUCUCAAGUCUGCGGUCAAAGACCGGGGCUCAACCCUGGAAAGGCCGUGGAAACUGGUGAGCUAGAGUGCGGUAGGGGCAGAGGGAAUUCCCAGUGUAGCGGUGAAAUGCGUAGAGAUCGGGAAGAACAUCGGUGGCGAAAGCGCUCUGCUGGACUGCAACUGACACUCAGGGACGAAAGCUAGGGGAGCGAAUGGG